rnacentral:rRNA from 1 species
GACGAACGCUGGCGGCGUGCCUAAUACAUGCAAGUAGAACGCUGAAGGAGGAGCUUGCUCUUCUGGAUGAGUUGCGAACGGGUGAGUAACGCGUAGGUAACCUGCCUGGUAGCGGGGGAUAACUAUUGGAAACGAUAGCUAAUACCGCAUAACAGUAGAUGUUGCAUGACAUUUGCUUAAAAGGUGCAAUUGCACCACUACCAGAUGGACCUGCGUUGUAUUAGCUAGUUGGUGGGGUAACGGCUCACCAAGGCGACGAUACAUAGCCGACCUGAGAGGGUGAUCGGCCACACUGGGACUGAGACACGGCCCAGACUCCUACGGGAGGCAGCAGUAGGGAAUCUUCGGCAAUGGACGGAAGUCUGACCGAGCAACGCCGCGGGAGUGAAGAAGGUUUUCGGAUCGUAAAGCUCUGUUGUAAGAGAAGAACGAGUGUGAGAGUGGAAAGUUCACACUGUGACGGUAGCUUACCAGAAAGGGACGGCUAACUACGUG